CAGGUGGAGGCUUAGCCCGGUGAUUCUGGAAGGCGUCAGCGCUUGGUGGUGGAUUAGUCCGGAGAUUCUGGAACAGAUUGGCUCCUGGUGGUGUGUUAACGCGGAGAUUCUGGAAGAGAUCAGCUCUUGACGCCCGCCGCCGUCGCGGACGACGUUAGCGGGCGACGCUGAGAAAGCCCAAGGCUGCCGGGGACGAGGUUAGCGCGUCAGGUGCCGCCAUCUGUGGCGCCCGCCAAGCACUACAAAGGUCGAUGCGGGAACGGCAUGGUGGCGGUAUGGUCGCACAGCAUGGACAAACGUCCCGGGGACCGGACCGAGGACGACUUGGAGUCCAUCUACGGCCGGUUGCGCAGUAUCAAGGCCUUCCACCGGCUGCACCCGGUGCUGUUGCAGCAGCUGUGCUUCUACGGAUACUACGAAGACCUCGACAGGGGUG
rnacentral:lncRNA from 1 species